AUUGAACGCUGGCGGCAGGCCUAACACAUGCAAGUCGAGCGAGCGGCGGACGGGUGAGUAAUGUCUGGGGAUCUGCCCGAUGGAGGGGGAUAACUACUGGAAACGGUAGCUAAUACCGCAUACUAUCAGAUGUGCCCAUAUGGGAUUAGCUAGUAGGUGGGGUAAAGGCUCACCUAGGCGACGAUCCCUAGCUGGUCUGAGAGGAUGAUCAGCCACACUGGAACGGAGACACGGUCCAGACUCCUACGGGAGGCAGCAGUGGGGAAUAUUGCACAAUGGGCGCAAGCCUGAUGCAGCCAUGCCGCGUGUAGGAAGAAGGCCUUCGGGUUGUAAAGCACUUUCAGCGGGGAGGCGUUACUCGCAGAAGAAGCACCGGCUAACUCCGUGCCAGCAGCCGCGGUAAUUC
rnacentral:rRNA from 1 species